UACCGUACGUACAUUUCUGCUGU
rnacentral:miRNA from 1 species